rnacentral:rRNA from 1 species
AACGAACGCUGGCGGCAGGCCUAACACAUGCAAGUCGAGCGAGGACUUCGGUUCUAGCGGCGGACGGGUGAGUAACGCGUGGGAAUGUGCCCUUCUCUACGGAAUAGCCCUGGGAAACUGGGAGUAAUACCGUAUACGCCCUUUUGGGGAAAGAUUUAUCGGAGAAGGAUCAGCCCGCGUUGGAUUAGGUAGUUGGUGGGGUAAUGGCCUACCAAGCCGACGAUCCAUAGCUGGUUUGAGAGGAUGAUCAGCCACACUGGGACUGAGACACGGCCCAGACUCCUACGGGAGGCAGCAGUGGGGAAUCUUAGACAAUGGGGGCAACCCUGAUCUAGCCAUGCCGCGUGAGUGAUGAAGGCCUUAGGGUUGUAAAGCUCCUUCAGCUGGGAAGAUAAUGACGGUACCAGCAGAAGAAGCCCCGGCUAACUCCGUG